GAGUUUGAUUAUGGCUCAGAUUGAACGCUGGCGGCAGGCCUAACACAUGCAAGUCGGGCGGUAGAGAGAAGCUUGCUUCUCUUGAGAGCGGCGGACGGGUGAGUAAUGCCUAGGAAUCUGCCUGGUAGUGGGGGAUAACGCUCGGAAACGGACGCUAAUACCGCAUACGUCCUACGGGAGAAAGCAGGGGACCUUCGGGCCUUGCGCUAUCGGAUGAGCCUAGGUCGGAUUAGCUAGUUGGUGAGGUAAUGGCUCACCAAGGCGACGAUCCGUAACUGGUCUGAGAGGAUGAUCAGUCACACUGGAACUGAGACACGGUCCAGACGUCCUACGAGAGGCAGGCAGUGGGGAAUAUUGGACAAUGGGCGAAAGCCUGAUCCAGCCAUGCCGCGUGUGUGAAGAAGGUCUUCGGAUUGUAAAGCACGUUUAAGUUGGGAGGAAGGGCAGGUAAAUUAAUACUUUAGCUGUUUUGACGCUA
rnacentral:rRNA from 1 species